UAUGGGGUCCUUUAGACCAGCUGACGUGGUA
rnacentral:piRNA from 1 species